rnacentral:rRNA from 1 species
CCCUUAGAUGUUCUGGGCUGCACGCGCGCUACACUGAUGCGCUCAACGAGUUUUGAACUUGCCCGGAAGGGUUGGUUAAUCUUUUUAAAACGCAUCGUGAUGGGGAUAGAUUAUUGCAAUUAUUAAUCUUCAACGAGGAAUUCCUAGUAAGCGCGAGUCAUCAGCUCGUGCUGAUUACGUCCCUGCCCUUUGUACACACCGCCCGUCGCUACUACCGAUUGAAUGAUUUAGUGAGGACUUCGGACUGGGACCGAUGCGGCUUUCGGGCUGCGUCGGUAUUCUGGAAAGAUGUCCAAACUGUAUCAUUUAGAGGAAGUAAAAGUCGUAACA